rnacentral:piRNA from 1 species
UGUGUCACAGAUCGACCCAAUUCGUGGG